GACGAACCGUGCGAACGUUGUUCGGAAUCACUGGGCUUAAAGGGCGCGUAGGCGGCCGCACAAGUCAGGGGUGAAAUCUUUCGGCUCAACCGGAAAACAGCCUUGGAUACUGAUGGUCUCGAGUGAGGUAGGGGCAGCUGGAACUUCCGGUGGAGCGGUGAAAUGCGUUGAUAUCGGAAGGAACGCCGGUGGCGAAAGCGAGCUGCUGGACCUCUUCUGACGCUGAGGCGCGAAAGCCAGGGGAGCAAACGGG
rnacentral:rRNA from 1 species